rnacentral:rRNA from 1 species
AAGGGCGCACGGUGAAUGCCUUGGCACUGGAAGCCGAUGAAGGACGCGACUAACCGCGAAAGUCUUCGGGGAGCCGUAAGUAGGCUUUGAUCCGGAGGUCUCCGAAUGGGGGAACCCAGCAUGUGCAGACAUGCUAUCCUUAAGUGAAUACAUAGCUUAAGGAGGGAACACGCAGUGAACUGAAACAUCUAAGUAGCUGCAGGAAGAGAAAGAAAUAUCGAUUUCCCAAGUAGCGGCGAGCGAACAGGAAAGAGCCCAAACCGGCAGAUUUAUCUGCCGGGGUUGUAGGACUGAGACAUGGCACUUCAGAGGAUAGCAGAAGCGUUUGGGAAAGCGCGCCAGAGAGGGUGAGAGCCCCGUAAGCGAAAUCCAAAGAAGGCCUAUCAGUAUCCUGAGUAGGGCGGGACACGUGAAAUCCCGUUUGAAUCCGCGAGGACCAUCUCGCAAGGCUAAAUACUAACCAGUGACCGAUAGUGAACCAGUACCGUGAGGGAAAGGUGAAAAGAACCCCGGGAGGGGAGUGAAAGAGAACCUGAAACCGUGUGCCUACAAGUAGUCAGAGCCCGUUAACGGGUAAUGGCGUGCCUUUUGUAGAAUGAACCGGCGAGUUGCGUUAGUCAGCAAGGUUAAGUCAGAAAAGACGGAGCCGUAGCGAAAGCGAGUCUGAAGAGGGCGAGCAGUUGGCUGACGCAGACCCGAAACCAAGUGACCUACCCAUGACCAGGUUGAAGGCGCGGUAAAACGCGCUGGAGGACCGAACCCACGUAAGUUGAAAAUUGCGGGGAUGAGUUGUGGGUAGCGGUGAAAUUCCAAACGAACUUGGAGAUAGCUGGUUCUCUCCGAAAUAGCUUUAGGGCUAGCCUCGCAAAGAGGAUGCUGGAGGUAGAGCUCUGUUUGGACUAGGGGCCCGUCAAGGGUUACUGAAUUCAGAUAAACUGCGAAUUCCAGACAUUUAUGUGCGGGAGUCAGACUGCGAGUGAUAAGAUCCGUAGUCGAAAGGGAAACAGCCCAGAUCACCAGUUAAGGUCCCAAAAUUCAUGCUAAGUGGAAAAGGAUGUGGAGUUGCGCAGACAACUAGGACGUUGGCUCAGAAGCAGCCAUCAUUCAAAGAGUGCGUAAUAGCUCACUAGUCGAGUGACGCCGCGCCGAAAAUUUACCGGGGCUAAGCAUGAUACCGAAACUGUGGAUGUGCAUUUAUGCACGUGGUAGGAGAGCGUUCUAGCGGCGGUGAAGCAUGACCGAGAGGACAUGUGGAGCUUCUAGAAGUGAGAAUGCCGGUAUGAGUAACGAAAGACAGGUGAGAAUCCUGUCCGCCGCAAGACUAAGGUUUCCUGGGGCAGGCUCGUCCGCCCAGGGUAAGUCGGGACCUAAGGCGAGGCCGAGAGGCGUAGUCGAUGGACAACAGGUUGAAAUUCCUGUACUGCACCGAAUCGUUAUGAGCGAUGGAGGGACGCAGGAGGCUAGCAGCGCGUGGUGCUGGAUACCACGUUCAAGCGUCAAGUCUGAGAGCGAGUCAAAUGCUUGCUCUCAUAAGGACAAGGCGUGAUGAGGAGCGAAAUUAAAGUAGCGAAGGCUGCGACGUCACACUGCCGAGAAAAGCUUCUAGCCAGAGACGGUGCACCCGUACCGCAAACCGACACAGGUAGUCGAGGAGAGUAUCCUCAGGUGAGCGAGAGAACUCUCGUUAAGGAACUCGGCAAAAUGGCCCCGUAACUUCGGGAGAAGGGGCGCUGGUCGCAAGAUCAGCCGCAGUGAAAAGGCCCAAGCAACUGUUUAUCAAAAACACAGGCAUCUGCAAAAUCGUAAGAUGAAGUAUAGGUGCUGACACCUGCCCGGUGCUGGAAGGUUAAGAGGAGAGCUUAGCGCAAGCGAAGGUUUGAAUUGAAGCCCCAGUAAACGGCGGCCGUAACUAUAACGGUCCUAAGGUAGCGAAAUUCCUUGUCGGGUAAGUUCCGACCUGCACGAAAGGUGUAAUGAUUUGGGCACUGUCUCAACGAGAGACUCGGUGAAAUUAUAAUACCCGUGAAGAUGCGGGUUACCCGCGACAGGACGGAAAGACCCCAUGGAGCUUUACUGCAGUUUAAUAUUGGGUAUCUGUCAAGCAUGUACAGGAUAGGUAGGAGCCGGAGAAGAUAGGACGCCAGUCUUAUCUGAGGCGCUGUUGGGAUACUACCCUUGCUUGACGGAUGCUCUAACUCAGGCCUGUGAUCCAGGCCGAGGACAGUGUUUGACGGGCAGUUUGACUGGGGCGGUCGCCUCCUAAAGUGUAACGGAGGCGCCCAAAGGUUCCCUCAGAAUGGUUGGAAAUCAUUCGCAGAGUGUAAAGGUAAAAGGGAGCUUGACUGCGAGAGAGACAACUCGAGCAGGUACGAAAGUAGGGCUUAGUGAUCUGGUGGUACCGCAUGGAAGGGCCAUCACUCAACGGAUAAAAGCUACCCUGGGGAUAACAGGCUUAUCUCCCCCAAGAGUUCACAUCGACGGGGAGGUUUGGCACCUCGAUGUCGGCUCGUCGCAUCCUGGGGCUGAAGUCGGUCCCAAGGGUUGGGCUGUUCGCCCAUUAAAGCGGCACGCGAGCUGGGUUCAGAACGUCGUGAGACAGUUCGGUCCCUAUCCGUCGUGGGCGCAGGAAAUUUGAGAGGAGCUGUCCUUAGUACGAGAGGACCGGGAUGGACGCACCGCUGGUGUACCAGUUGUCUUGCCAAAGGCAUCGCUGGGUAGCUAUGUGCGGACGGGAUAAGCGCUGAAAGCAUCUAAGUGCGAAGCCCCCCUCAAGAUGAUAUUUCCCAUUUCUUCAAGAAAGUAAGACACCUCAGAGACGAUGAGGUAGAUAGGCCGGGAGUGGAAG